CAGCCCUAAACGAUGCGCGUUAGGUGUAUCGGUGACCACGAGUCACCGAGGUGCCGAAGGGAAACCGUGAAACGUGCCGCCUGGGAAGUACGGUCGCAAGGCUGAAACUUAAAGGAAUUGGCGGGGGAGCACAACAACGGGUGGAACUUGCGGUUUAAUUGGAUUCAACGCCGGAAAUCUUACCGGGACCGACAGCAACAUGAAGGCCAAGCUGAAGACUUUGCCGGAUUAGCUGAGAGGAGGUGCAUGGCGUGUGACUGU
rnacentral:rRNA from 1 species